GUAGGGAAUUUUCGGCAAUGGGGGAAACCCUGACGCAGCGACGCCGUGUGAGGGAAGAAGGCUUUCGGGUCGUAAACCUCUGUCAGAAAGGAAGAACCUCCCAAGUCCGAAUAGGGCUUGGGACUGACGGUACUUUCAAAGGAAGCACCGGCUAACUCCGUGCCAGCAGCCGCGGUAAUACGGAGGGUGCAAGCGUUAAUCGGAAUCACUGGGCGUAAAGCGCGCGUAGGCCGCUUUGUAAGUCGGACGUGAAAGCCCUCGGCUCAACCGGGGAACUGCGUUCGAUACUGCGAGGCUUGAGUCCUGGAGAGGGUGGCGGAAUUCCGGGUGUAGGAGUGAAAUCCGUAGAUAUCCGGAGGAACACCGGUGGCGAAGGCGGCCACCUGGACAGGUACUGACGCUGAGGCGCGAAAGCGUGGGGAGCAAACAGGAUUAGAAACCCCGGUAGUCC
rnacentral:rRNA from 1 species